UGAGUCAGCAAAUAAAGGCACAUACUGUCCGCAGGGAAAAUUAACCAGGAAAUCCUUUACUGAAGUUCAGUUCCAAAUGAUUUCACUGUUGGAGCUGAUACUCUUUGGAUCCUCGUGUGGAUGUCAGGCCCCAGGCCAUGGUUGAAAUUCUAAAGGGUGAGGUCUAGAAAAUUCCUGAAUCAAAUGGGCCCAUGAGCGAAAAAAGAAGAAAAGAGGUAACCGAGGUCUGAGCUGGGCCCUCUGCUUCACCUGGAUCUAGAGAAAUGUCUGUCCUCACAGAAUAGUGAGAGUGAGUGUGUUAAUUGAAACAAGCCAGUUUAAACAUUAUUGCACGUCAGCUGCUUGUAACACUUGGUGCUGGGUGCUGGGAUUACAACUAAGAGCCACAUGGUCUCUACUCUUAAAGGAGCUCAAGAUCAAGUUGGUUGUACUUCUUUGGGGUUUCUGUGAAGUUAAAACAGUUAAUGAGGAGAUCUUUUUCAUUUGUAACUUGUAAUCUGUCUAAACCAUGACUGACUUUCCAGGCCACUGGCACAAGGGCACCUUAGAGUUGCUGGGAGAAGGGAAGGCUGGACAAACAGCUUUUGAAGACAGAUCAGUCCAUUGCCUAAGCAAGAAGCUCUCCUUCCCAACCGCCCUCAGGAUGCUUUGUUUGCUGUGAGAGGCAGACAGGUGCGUCCAGGUGAGGCUCUGUCUUGGAAACAUUCCAUGGCUGUUACUCCAGACUCUACCCUCUGCCUCAACCCAAGACAGACCAGGACAACAAGAUGGGUGAAGAAUAUGUCCGCAGGCCAUUAUGAGACUUGACAAUGUGACUGUCUUGGGUCAUUGGAAUGAGAGCCGAGGUGAAGCGUUUUAGUUCCCUACAGAAGCUUUAUGAGACACUGCAUGUUUGUACCACCUCUUGGUGUUUUUCCUCUACCACAAUAAAGACAUGUCCCAACGAAGAGCCCCUCCUUCAGCUUGAGUCCUGGAUGAGAAAACAUGUGGAUCAGAGUCCCAGAAGUCCACCUGCAGCCAACGACAUGAUGUGUAAAUGAGAAAUGUUUGUUGUUUAAGUCUCUGUGAUCUUGGAGUUUUUCUAAUAGUAGAAAAACUGAUUAAUUAGCUAGGAAGGUGAGUUUAUGGCUUUCAUCUUGGGGAGAUGUAGAAUCAUAAGGAGGGAAAUCCCUGAAACGUAGGAAGAUCAAUCCAAGUGCUGAGUGGCCACAAUAAAUGACAAAUGUCCACUAUAAACACAGACUCUACAUUCACAAAAUUUAGAAAACACAC
rnacentral:lncRNA from 1 species